rnacentral:ncRNA from 2 species
GCUUGGUUUAAAACCAAACUCUUACGCUAUGCAAAUAAAGUAAUAAGGAAUCGUGUGAAAAUCAUGAGCUGACGCGCAACUGUAACUGGAAAAACUCCACAAGCCAGGAUACUUUACUUUAUUUGUCAAUUUGA